rnacentral:rRNA from 1 species
UACAGAGGUCUCAACCGUUGUUCGGAUUCAUUGGGCGUAAAGGGUGCGUAGGCGGUCGGGUAAGUCGGAUGUGAAAUCUCAGGGCUCAACCCUGAAACUGCAUUCGAUACUGCCUGGCUAGGGUACUGGAGAGGAGACUGGAAUUUACGGUGUAGCAGUGAAAUGCGUAGAUAUCGUAAGGAAGACCAGUGGCGAAGGCGGCUCACUGGCCCGGUACUGACGCUGAGGUGCGAAAGCGUGGGGAGCAAACAGG